AACGAACGCUGGCGGCAGGCUUAACACAUGCAAGUCGAGCGCCCCGCAAGGGGAGCGGCAGACGGGUGAGUAACGCGUGGGAAUCUACCCAUCUCUACGGAAUAACGCAUGGAAACGUGUGCUAAUACCGUAUACGUCCUUCGGGAGAAAGAUUUAUCGGAGAUGGAUGAGCCCGCGUUGGAUUAGCUAGUUGGUGGGGUAAAGGCCUACCAAGGCGACGAUCCAUAGCGAGUCUGAGAGGAUGAUCAGCCACACUGGGACUGAGACACGGCCCAGACUCCUACGGGAGGCAGCAGUGGGGAAUAUUGGACAAUGGGCGCAAGCCUGAUCCAGCCAUGCCGCGUGAGUGAUGAAGGCCCUAGGGUUGUAAAGCUCUUUCACCGGUGAAGAUAAUGACGGUAACCGGAGAAGAAGCCCCGGCUAACUUCGUGCCAGCCGCCGCGGUAACGC
rnacentral:rRNA from 1 species